GCUUGGGUGGCUCAGUCGGUUAAGCGUCCGACUUCGGUUCAGGUCAUGAUCUCACAGUUUGUGGGUUCAAGCCCCACAUCGGGCU
rnacentral:tRNA from 1 species